rnacentral:rRNA from 1 species
CAGCUCUCCGAGUGGUGUGGAUGUUUAUUGGGCCUAAAGCAUCCGUAGCUGGCUGAGUUAGUCCCUUGUUAAAUCCACCGAAUUAAUCGUUGGAUUGCGGGGGAUACUGCUCGGCUAGGGGACGAGAGAGGCAGACGGUAUUUCUGGGGUAGGGGUGAAAUCCUAUAAUCCCAGGAGGACCACCAGUGGCGAAGGCUGUCUGCUAGAACGCGCCCGACGGUGAGGGAUGAAAGCUGGGGGAGCGAACCGGAUUAGAUACCCGAGUAGUCC